rnacentral:rRNA from 1 species
AGAACGAACGCUGGCGGCAUGCCUAACACAUGCAAGUCGAACGAGACCUUUCGGGGUCUAGUGGCUCACGGGUGCGUAACGCGUGGGAAUCUGCCCCUUGGUUCGGAAUAACAGUUAGAAAUGACUGCUAAUACCGGAUGACGACGUAAGUCCAAAGAUUUAUCGCCGAGGGAUGAGCCCGCGUAGGAUUAGCUAGUUGGUGAGGUAACGGCUCACCAAGGCGACGAUCCUUAGCUGGUCUGAGAGGAUGAUCAGCCACACUGGGACUGAGACACGGCCCAGACUCCUACGGGAGGCAGCAGUGGGGAAUAUUGGACAAUGGGCGAAAGCCUGAUCCAGCAAUGCCGCGUGAGUGAUGAAGGCCUUAGGGUUGUAAAGCUCUUUUACCAGGGAUGAUAAUGACAGUACCUGGAGAAUAAGCUCCGGCUAACUCCGUGCCAGCAGCCGC